GCUGUGGUGGCUCAGAAGAUUGAGCGUUGUCCUAUGGACCAAGAGGUCCUGGGUUCAAUUCCCAGUCAGGGCA
rnacentral:tRNA from 1 species